AGAGUUUGAUCCUGGCUCAGAUUGAACGCUGGCGGCAUGCUUUACACAUGCAAGUCGAACGGUAACGCGGGGGCAACCCUGGCGACGAGUGGCGAACGGGUGAGUAAUACAUCGGAACAUGUCCUGGAGUGGGGGAUAGCUCGGCGAAAGCCGGAUUAAUACCGCAUACGCUCUGAGGAGGAAAGCGGGGGACUCGCAAGGGCCUCGCGCUGCAGGAGUGGCCGAUGUCGGAUUAGCUAGUUGGUGAGGUAAAGGCUCACCAAGGCGACGAUCCGUAGCUGGUCUGAGAGGAUGAUCAGCCACACUGGGACUGAGACACGGCCCAGACUCCUACGGGAGGCAGCAGUGGGGAAUUUUGGACAAUGGGGGCAACCCUGAUCCAGCCAUGCCGCGUGAGUGAAGAAGGCCUUCGGGUUGUAAAGCUCUUUCGGACGGAACGAAAUGGUUACAGUGAAUAACUGUGAUUGAUGACGGUACCGUAAGAAGAAGCACCGGCUAACUACGUGCCAGCAGCCGCGGUAAUACGUAGGGUGCGAGCGUUAAUCGGAAUUACUGGGCGUAAAGCGUGCGCAGGCGGUUCGCCAAGUCAGGUGUGAAAUCCCCGGGCUUAACCUGGGAAUUGCGCUUGAAACUAGCGGGCUUGAGUGUGGCAGAGGGGGGUGGAAUUCCACGUGUAGCAGUGAAAUGCGUANAGAUGUGGAGGAACACCGAUGG
rnacentral:rRNA from 1 species